AUCCAGCUGACGAGUCCCAAACAGGACGAAACGCGCGUCAAACUGCAU
rnacentral:hammerhead_ribozyme from 1 species